AAAUGACUGAUUAAGACACCACAGCUGUACUGUUACUGUCACAAUCUAUUUUUCUUAUGCAAUGUGCUUCUUAUUCUGCAUUCCUUUUGAUUUUUUUUUAGCAUUCCAUCCCAACUUGAUUUUUAAAUAAAUUGAUAGCAACAGAGUAAUGUCUGUGGUUGGAUUUUAUAAUGACAGUUUUUUUUUCUUAUUUGAAUCAAUAAUCUGGAUGAGGAUUGAAUUGUGUGUGCCGCUUCCAGAAAGAGGAGGCUCAGUUGGGGGCUGAGUUUGAAGGAUGGACACAAUAUUUUUUUCUAUAGGCCUGGAUUGGCCAUCGGGCUAAACAGGCAUUGGGUCGUGCCCAAUGGACAAUCAUACAAUGCCUUAUUGGAACCCAUCCUUUAGCGAGCGGACCCAUGUCCACUCAAGUCUUUCAUAGUUUUGUUUUCAUUCUGUGAAUUUAGGGUGAUCUUCUUUUCUAUAUAUACAUCAUAUGAUUUCAUGAACCAAUGAGCCUCUGUAUUACAGUAAAUUUCAAUCUGAUGACAUCACUUCCUUCACAUGAGCCAAUCAGAUGAAGGAUAGAAAGGGA